rnacentral:rRNA from 1 species
GCACCUGCCGUUUGGUGGUGGGGGGAGUAGCCGGGCUACGCCCGGGUAAUACCGCAUACGGUUGCCGAGGGGAGUCCCUUGGCAAAGAAACCUCCGGGGCACAGAGAGGGGCUCGCGGCCUAUCAGCUAGUUGGUGAGGUAAUGGCUCACCAAGGCGACGACGGGUAGCUGGUCUGAGAGGAUGGCCAGCCACAUUGGGACUGAGAUACGGCCCAG